rnacentral:rRNA from 1 species
GCUAAUUCGUGGCCAGACGGCGCGGUAAUACGGAGGGUGUAAGCGUUAUCCGGGUGUACAGGUGUUAAAGGGUGCGCAGGCGGAUAAAGAAGUCAUUGUUUAAAGCUUUCUGCUCAACCGUAAAAUGGCCGGUGAUAAUAUAUAUCUUGAAUACUGUGGAGGUUUGCGGAAUAGGUCAUGUAGCGGUGAAAUGCAUAGAUAUGACCUGGAACACCUAUUGCGAAGGCAGCAGGCUACGCAGUUAUUGACGCUCAUGCACGAAAGCGUGGGUAGCGAACAGGAUUAGAUACCCUUGUAGUC